rnacentral:rRNA from 1 species
AGAACGAACGCUGGCGGCAUGCCUAACACAUGCAAGUCGAACGCUCUUGGGAUUUCGGUCUCAAGGGAGUGGCGCACGGGUGAGUAGCGCGUGGGAACCUGCCCUGUUGUGGGGGAUAACCGAGGGAAACUUCGGCUAAUACCGCAUGCGCCCCCGGGAGUGAUCCUGGGGGGAAAGAUUUAUCGCAGCAGGAGGGGCCCGCGUCGGAUUAGGUAGUUGGUGGGGUAACGGCCCACCAAGCCUGUGAUCCGUAGCUGGUCUGAGAGGAUGAUCAGCCACACUGGGACUGAGACACGGCCCAGACUCCUACGGGAGCAGCAGUGGGGAAUAUUGGACAAUGGGCGCAAGCCUGAUCCAGCAAUGCCGCGUGAGUGAUGAAGGCCUUAGGGUUGUAAAGCUCUUUCGCCCGCGACGAUGAUGACGGUAGCGGGAGAAGAGCCCCGGCUAACUUCGUGCCAGCAGCCGCGGUAA